UCUAUACUAUGCAAGCCAAAAUUAAGAUUUCAAAUAACUAACAGCAGAUGACGUUAGAUCAGGAAACUGUGGCGGGUUACAACAGUAAUGGCGUCAAUGUUGAGGAUGAAAAGAAAGAUUAGAAGAUGCAGAUUAGAAAGAUAUAGAAGAUUUAUCGUGGAUAAUGAUGGCGCUAAUGGUGAGAUUGCUAUAAUGGAUUACAGGUAGUAAUGUUGGUGGUGAAAUUGCAGAAGUAGUGGCAGUAAUGGCGGCAGAGGAUUAGAAGAAAGAGAAGAUAUCGAUUAGAAAGGCAUGAAAGAUUUUGUAGUCGAUAUUGAUGGUGAGAUUACUACGGUGGGAUGCGUCAAUAAUGUUGGUGAAAUUGUGAUUGUGGGUAGCAGUAAUAACAUGGUCAGCGCCGGUGAGGAUGAUAAGAAAAACAAG
rnacentral:lncRNA from 1 species